AUAUACAAAAAAAUCUCUCCAGUCAUGUCUGGGAAUCUGAUCUAAACUCUACUUAAAUACCAGCAGUAACACUGAGCUCAUUAUCAUUUGGUUGCUGGUUAGCUGAAGUGGUUAUAAGGUUCCAUAUUAUUUUAAACCAAAAAUCUGUGUCUUGAGAACAUUCACCCAUUCUUUGGUUCUCUUUAGGCCUUUUGGAGUAAUUUAAAGGUCUUAGAUCAAGUUGGAUGAUUUGAAGUUUUGGAGACAAGUUAUUAUAGUUUUAUAAUCUUAUCUGGCAGCAGGGUAGUCUGGGAGAGAGAAUGGGAAUGAUGGAAUGAUGCAGAGUUGGGGAUUGAAAUGAUGGAAGAUCAAUAAAUUGAAGGACUAUAGGAUGCUAGAGAGGGUAAUGUUGAAAUGACCAUCCAUCGCUGGGGAGACGGUUGAGGCCUUCAGAGCAGGUGUGGACUAUGUAUGGGGCAAUACUAAGUGGUCAGGGCUGUGGGCUGGGCUGAGGUGGCAAGUUCAGUGUGGCCUGGGUCGGUGUCUAGCUGGUCUUCCAUCUCUUUCUCUUAGGCCCUGGUGCAGUAGGUUUUCAAUUGGUAUUUUUUGACUGAUUAUGGCAAAAGGCAGAUUGAAUAGACACAUGGGGGUCAGAGAAGAAAGUAUGGAGAUUGUAUCAGAAAGAAAGAACUGGCUAGACAUUUUAGAGGUGAGCAGUUCCUAGUGAUGAGAAAAUCCAAGUAGUGGCUAACAUGUAACGGAGUUGAAGGUGAGAUCUGUUGAAAGAUUUUGUGGUCAUCAGCAUGCAUGAUGCUGCUAUUUUGUAUGAUGGUUAAAAGUAGGAGAGAAGAGGAACUGUGACUCAGAUGCCGAAGUGUUUGAGCACAGUGUUUGGAGGUGGGAUGGACACGAAAUAGAAAUGAUAAGAGGAUGUAGACAGCAUAGAGUGCCUGGUCCUGGCUCUGUCUUGUGGAGUUGUUGGAAGCUCAUGUGAGAUACAGUAAUCAGCAUAUGUUGGUACCUUUGGAAAGAUCCAGAAAUCCACAUGUUGAACAUGAAUGUGAGGCUGUUGUUGCUGCACAUAUACUUUCCACAACUUGAUUUUCUGUGUAUCAAUUACUCAGGGGUGGCACCGUGUCAUAGCCAUAAACUCCCAGACAGCAUUGAAUUCAACUUCUACCACCAUCACUUAUUAGCUGUGUGACAUCAAACAACUUAAUUAAACUGUCUGAACCUCAAUUUCUUCACUUGUAAAAUGGCGGACAAGAACACUUACCGUGAGGAUUGAGCAAUCUCUUAGCACAAUGGCUGAGUUGGAUCACUUCUUCAGCCUUUCCACAAUUUGGUGAGGCCGCAUGAUGGAGUCCUGGCCAAUGGAAUGAGAGUGGGUGUGAUGUCUGCCACUCCCAUGCUCAGCAUCACUCCAUCCUCUCUCCCCUCAUCUGCUGGACAGAAGCAGUGGACCCGGUAGAGGACCCAAAAGCCCUAGAAGAUAACAAAGCCACAGGAUAGAAAGAGCCUGGGUCCCUGAACAACUGUUUGCAAUAAGAGUCCUACCACCAACUUCUAUUGAACUCUGCUGGGUGGAGGAAUAAAUUUUUAUUGUGUUAAAUUGCCUAGAUUUUGAGCUUGUUUGUUAAAGUAACAAAUGAUUAACCUAAGUAAUAUAGAAUGUGGGCAAUAGAUAAUGCUGGAACAAGGUACUGGCAAUGGAAAUGAA